rnacentral:lncRNA from 1 species
GAAGACGCGUCCCAGCUGCUGGGGGUCAGCCUCUUGUCUGGCUCUGAUUUCCUUGCAGUGUGGGGGAAUUGCCCCACCCCCAGCACCCAGGCGCAGCUGUACUAAAGGUCAAGGUGGGCAAUAGCUUGAGCUCGCAUCUCCUUGACUUCAGCUGUGCAGAACCAAUGUGCGCCUGCUGGAAGGACAGCUGGUGUUUGCGGCUGAUGGUGCACAGCUGAGAGCAGGCGCCCCUCGUCCUUUCGGCUGCAUUCUAUUCUACACAUCUCCAAAGGUGUUUAUAAAUUCUCUUUCUUAAGUAGCAGAAACCUCCAUCAACUCAGCAAAAAUAAACAUAUCAGUAACCACGGUGACUUCGGCAUUCCCACACUGGGCAGAAGUGACCUCAGGCGGACACAGAGGGGCGCAGACGUGGAUCUGAACAUGGAUUUGAUGAAAGUGGAAUAGAUCUGAUUGAAAACCUUCACAGCCCCUGAUGGUUGGAAUUCCAGGCUUCCUGCUGGUGUCUGCCCUGUUUCAUGACCCAUGAAGCCCCAACAGUGACAAGGGCUGUUGCUGCUGGUGCCCGGACUGGUCUCCUGAGGCCACGCCUUGCUUCCUGGGGAGGGGCUUUGCCUCAGUAGGACCAAGGGCAGGAGACCCGGGCACUGCUCAGUCAGGCUUCCUCCCUCGGGUCCAGACCCAUGACCUUCCUGGGCUUCUGUUUCACAGCGAUGAUGCCAGGAUGCCCAAGAAUUGCAAAGUUCACCAGCACACUCGAGGGAGAGAAACAACAGCGACAAACUCCAAGGAACUACAGAGGCAGAGGGAUGUGGAACCCAGGACGUAGAGGGGGCAGAUUCGUGUUCCCCCCAGGGGACCCUGGGAACCACGACCCUGCAGCCAGGUGUGCUCAGAGGAUAAACAGG